GGCCUGGUGCUGAUCGGGUGCGGGUGCGACUGCCUGUGUGCCUCCAUUGGCAUCUCUGCCUGUGGGCCCCAGGCCAGAAGUAAUGGCCCAUGUAGCCCAGGCCCGGGGGCCAGUCCUCAGCAUUUUGCGGAGGGGCGGCCUGGGAGGGGAGGAGGGGAUCCCUGGAUAGGGGGUCUCCCCUGGUCUGCCCCAGCUGUGCCGACAGCACCUCCACCUUGGGCCUCCAUCCUCUACCAGCAGAGAAGAGAGUGGCCCAUUCGGUGUCCACCCGUCAGGCCACCCAGCAGCCAGGCACGCUCAUAAGCCCGCGUUACGGAUGGUGCGGCCGGGUGCACAGGCCCGAGGGAAGCACAGGCCUCGGCCUCCCAGCUCCCAACCCCUGCACCACCCACAGCCGGGAGUACCCCAUGGACAGCUGUGGCCGAGGAGAAGCCAGGGAUGAGGGGGAUGGGCCUCACCUCCCCACCAGCCUGGGAAGGGGGUAGGCCCCUGGCAAGUAGGAGGGAAGCUGAGGCUCAGAGACAUCAUGAGGAUGCCAGCUCAAGGCCCAGCCAGGCCUUGGUCCUCAGCUGCUGUCAUCCAGUAGGCUCAAGCCCAGAGGCCUCCAGGGUGUCCAGCCUCCAGGGUGCCUCCUACGCAGCCUCCACGUCCCCAUCCACUGCAGCCCCUGACCAUCGGGCACACCGUGGGGCCUUCGCUGGCCGCCGGGCCUCAGGUUCUGCUGCACCAAGUGAUUUUUAAAGCCCCAUCUGCCUUUCUCCACUUAUAAAGAACUUGGGACAUUU
rnacentral:lncRNA from 1 species